rnacentral:lncRNA from 1 species
GCGUAUAAAAUGAAUUCACUAAUUGGGAAAUUUUUUUUAAUAGCGUGAAAAUUCACUAAAAUGGGUAUAAAGGAGUGUAGAAUGUGAUUUUAGAAAAAUUUUUGUUGAAGUGUCUCCAGACUUUUUUUUUAUGGAUCUUUCACGUUCUUUUCGUCUGCACCUAGACCGUAUACAAUUUUUUUUCUUUUCAAUUUUUUUUCUUUUCAAUUUUUUUUGAUUUUUUU